rnacentral:rRNA from 1 species
AGCGAACGCUGGCGGCAGGCCUAACACAUGCAAGUCGAACGAACUCUUCGGAGUUAGUGGCGGACGGGUGAGUAACACGUGGGAACGUGCCUUUAGGUUCGGAAUAACUCAGGGAAUCUUGUGCUAAUACCGAAUGUGCCCUUCGGGGGAAAGAUUUAUCGCCUUUAGAGCGGCCCGCGUCUGAUUAGCUAGUUGGUGAGGUAAAGGCUCACCAAGGCGACGAUCAGUAGCUGGUCUGAGAGGAUGAUCAGCCACAUUGGGACUGAGACACGGCCCAAACUCCUACGGGAGGCAGCAGUGGGGAAUCUUGCGCAAUGGGCGAAAGCCUGACGCAGCCACGCCGCGUGAAUGAUGAAGGUCUUAGGAUUGUAAAAUUCUUUCACCGGGGACGAUAAUGACGGUACCCGGAGAAGAAGCCCCGGCUAACUUCGUG